rnacentral:misc_RNA from 1 species
UCCGGUUUGUCACCGGCAGUCUCCCUAGAGUUCCCGACCGAAUCGCUGGCAAAUAGGGACAAGGGUUGCGCUCGUUACGGGACUUAACCCAACAUUUCACAACACGAGCUGACGACAGCCAUGCAGCACCUGUAUGAAAGUCAGUACCAUCCCGUUAAGGACUGGUUUUGUUGUUCAUAUGUCAAGGGCUGGUAAGGUUUUGCGCGUUGUAUCGAAUUAAACCACAUGCUCCACCGCUUGUGCAGGCCCCCGUCAAUUCCUUUGAGUUUUAGCCUUGCGGCCGUACUCCCCAGGCGGGGAACUUAAUGCGUUAGCUGCGACACCAGGAGGGUCAAAGCUCCUGACAUCUAGCACUCAUCGUUUACGGCGUGGACUAC